AUCGCUUCUCGGCCUUUUGGCUAAGAUCAAGUGUAGUAUCUGUCCUUAGGAGGGGGAACUGGCUGUUACUCCAUAUAAGACAGUCUACCUUGAUCCUCGGGCCAGGGGGCCAGUAGCAUUAAAACCUGAGGUGCGCUGUGCCCUGGGAGUAGCGACCCCAGGGUGCCCGAACAAAGUAUGGCACUUUGCACAUGGCACUUUAUGUU
ensembl:snRNA U2 U2 spliceosomal RNA